GCGGGGGUGGCCGAGCGGUUAAGGCGGCAGACUCAAGAUCUGCUGGGCGCAGGCCCGUCGGGGGUUCGAGUCCCUUCCCCCGCA
rnacentral:tRNA from 1 species